GGGAUCGUGGCGAAAUUGGCAGCACGCGGCGGACUUAAAAUCCGCCGGUAGCGAUACCGUGAGGGUUCGAGUCCCUCCGAUCCCA
rnacentral:tRNA from 1 species